rnacentral:lncRNA from 1 species
UUGGGUGGCUGCAUAACGCUGCCAGCAUGUAUAUAUUAUCCAUCUCUCCCCACCCCGGCCUAACCCAGAUGCUGCAUGACUGAUUGUACCCCAGAGAAGCUCCAGCCUCUUCAGUGCAGACUGCUGAGGCAGAAGACACUGGAAGGCAAUGCAGUGGUGAAAGGAAACUUCUUGUUCUCAACUUGCAAAUGUAGAAUCUCCCAGUGCUUCCUAAGAGCAGCUGUUUUUACAUAUCAUUGCCCCAUGAAGAUGUACAGUGAAGGAACUUUGCAGGCCUCAAAACAGAAAGGCCGGGAACACAGUAGUAGUCAUCAAAUGGAGAACAACAGGUCAGCUGUAGCCAACAUUUGUUCAUGCAGUUCUUCCCUGAGCAUGAAAUGGAGCAGCCUACUAUUAGUCCUCAUCUUAAGGCUACAUGGUAUCUUCACCAUAAGGACAGGAAAGACUAAUUCUCUUGUUGAGGCAGUAGUGCAUAAAUGGCAUUUCUUAUUUCAGUCUUGCCAGCAUUCAGACGUUAGCAAAGCAUUUCACUGA